rnacentral:rRNA from 1 species
GACGAACGCUGGCGGCGUGCCUAAUACAUGCAAGUAGAACGCACAGUUUAUACCGUAGCUUGCUACACCAUAAACUGUGAGUUGCGAACGGGUGAGUAACGCGUAGGUAACCUGCCUGGUAGCGGGGGAUAACUAUUGGAAACGAUAGCUAAUACCGCAUAAUAUUAAUUAUUGCAUGAUAAUUGAUUGAAAGAUGCAAUUGCAUCACUACCAGAUGGACCUGCGUUGUAUUAGCUAGUAGGUGAGGUAACGGCUCACCUAGGCGACGAUACAUAGCCGACCUGAGAGGGUGAUCGGCCCCACUGGGACUGAGACACGGCCCAGACUCCUACGGGAGGCAGCAGUAGGGAAUCUUCGGCAAUGGACGAAAGUCUGACCGAGCAACGCCGCGUGAGUGAAGAAGGUUUUCGGAUCGUAAAGCUCUGUUGUAAGAGAAGAACGGGUGUGAGAGUGGAAAGUUCACACUGUGACGGUAUCUUACCAGAAAGGGACGGCUAACUACGUG